CCCCGUAGCCAAAAAAGUCACAAGUAUAAAUAUACAUUCUACUAAUGUUAUUUUCCUGAUGAUGAUCGUAGGACUCAUAGGUAGACUUAGGCUUAAUUAUUGAUCAUAUAUUAAUGCAUGACUUGUUCCUUGCAAUUGAGACAAUAUUUUGACAAGGUCAUAGAAAGACCAAAGCACUUAGGACGUGUGCAUAGCUAGUAAUGGUAGGGCUUAAGGACUCUCAGAUCAUUUUUGUCUACCACCAUCGAAAUUUUUUGGCUCUUAAUUAUAAUUAGAAUGCCUUGCAAAAAAAAAUGGAGAUGGAGGUUGGAGAAAAAUUUAAUCAAAUUUCCAAUUCGUAUACAAGAGUUUGAUGAGAAGUAAGAGUUUUUUACUCAUUCUCAUUAGGAAAUUGAACACAUCUUUCUUGAGGUUGUUUGAGUAGGCAUGAAAGAGUAAUGUGUUGUUCCAUAUUGUUGAGUACAAACAAAGUCUCACAUCGAAUAAAAUGAAAGAUAGAUUGGAAUGUAUAGUACUGAUAUCCCAUUGUAAAUUUUCUUAUCUAAUAUAUUGAUGGUUGUGGAAGAACUUCCAUGUGGAAGAUGCCACGUUGGGGAAGACUGAUCACUUCAUUAGUUAGGAGCAAUGAACAGAGCAGGCAAAGAACAAGGUUAAAGAACAAGAGCUCUUGCUGGAUAUCACCGCUGGACUCUCUAAAAGCAUCUUUUGUGAAUGAGCUACCACUUAAACAGAAGAAGCAAAGAUGAGGUUUUUUUUAUGUGAGAUUCAGCCAAAUAUGGCAUUCUUAUAUAGUGGUUUCAAGUCUUUUAGGUGGUCUGGUGGAUUGGCAAUGGAGAAAAGUGGAGA
rnacentral:lncRNA from 1 species